rnacentral:rRNA from 1 species
CCUACGGGUGGCAGCAGUGGGGAAUAUUGAGCAAUGGGCGCAAGCCUGACCCAGCAACGCCGCGUGAAGGAAGAAGGCUUUCGGGUUGUAAACUUCUUUUCUCAGGGACGAAGCAAGUGACGGUACCUGAGUAAUAAGCCACGGCUAACUACGUGCCAGCAGCCGCGUGAAUACGGAGGUGGCAAUCGUUAUCCGGAUUUACUGGGUGUAAAGGGCGUGUAGGCGGGACUGCAAGUCAGAUGUGAAAACCACGGGCUCAACCUGUGGCCUGCAUUUGAAACUGUAGUUCUUGAGUACGGGAGAGGCAGACGGAAUUCGUAGUGUAGCGGUGAAAUGCGUAGAUAUUAGGAGGAACACCAGUGGCGAAGGCGGUCUGCUGGACAGCAACUGACGCUGAGGCGCGAAAGCGUGGGGAGCAAACAGGAUUAGAUACCCUGGUAGUC